GGGGGGGGGGGGGGGGGGGGCGGGGGGGGGGGGGGCGAGGGGGGGGGGGGUAGGGGCGUGCGCGGACGGGUGGCGAGGGGCGGACGGGGGCGGACUACAGCGGCAUCUACUUUUUCGUGGGGGAGAACGUAGGGACACUUACGCUAAUACCUCAUACGACGUACGGGUGAAAGCUGUGUAUCUUCGGACUUUGCGUGUUUGAAUGAGCCGAUGUCGGAUGAGUUAGUUGGCGGGUUAAAGGCCACCCAAGGCGACGAUCCGUAGCUGGUCUGAGAGGAUGAUCAGCCACACUGGAACUGAGAAACGGUCCAGACUCCUACGGGAGGCAGCAGUGGGGAAUAUUGGACAAAGGGCGCAAGCCUGAUCCAGCCAUACCGCGUGGGUGAAGAAGGCCUUCGGGUUGUAAAGCCCUUUUGUUGGGAAAGAAAAGCAGCAGGUUAAUACCCCGCUGUUCUGACGGUACCCAAAGAAUAAGCACCGGCUAACUUCGUG
rnacentral:rRNA from 1 species